GGACAAAAUGAGAUUCAAAUGCAAAUGAAAUGAAUUAUUGGGUUCGCUUGUGGGGGGGCCUUGCCAAAUGGAAAUGCUCUCUAUAUAUACACUUGACCAGCCCUCCAAAGCCCAGCUUUAUGCGUAAGCCAAUAUAAUAAAUAAUUUAAAUGGAGCUGUGAAAUUGGGUUUCGUGGGUUUUUUCCUUUCCUCAAUUGGGUCGCCGGGAAUUAUCGAUUCCGUCGUGGGAAUCUGAUUGAUUAUGACAUAUGGCGAAGGGCCGGAAACUGACGCAGAGCCGCAGCGAACGGUUGCUCGGAAGCUACAGCAGCUACAGCCACGCUCAUGACUCGCCGGAGCUCGGCGAAGACGACGUCUGGUCGACGGUGAACACCGUGGACGAAAGGGAAGACCCCGAAAUCGAAAAUUCGCACGGAGAUUGGAGCCCACGCGCCUCCGCUGAGACAAACGGGGGCGUCUCGUCGAGGAGGAGCCGCCGAAUUGCACGGGAAGACGGAAACGUGGGUGGCCUGUCAUUGGCUUUUGACGAUUCCGGAAAAACGGCGUCAUCACCUAGGAUCGUGCACCAGUUCCGCGGACACGACAGCGUGGCGUCCCCACGUGUGCACCACAUGGCCACGUCAGCUCCCGUGAACGUGCCGGACUGGAGCAAGAUUCUCCGGGUCGACUCGGUGGACUCCCUGUACGAGUUGGACGAGAGUUGGAUGGGAAUGACUCGGAGAUUAUCCCGCCACACGAGUACCUAGCGCGUGAAUACACGCGCGGCGCGACGUCGGUUUUCGAAGGCGUCGGGCGGACCCUGAAGGGCUGGGACAUGCGGCGGGUAAGGGACGCGGUGUGGAGCCGGACCGGGUUUGAUGGUUAAUUGUGAUUAGUGUUAGGAUUAGAAAGGGAGUUUUAUUGUUAAAAAUGAUUGGAUUUGGGAAGACGUGGUAGUGGAGAUUUUAAUCUGAUUGUUGUGAAAUGGUAUUUUUGCACUGGGCAAUGAUUCAGCUGAGUUAAUAGCCUCGGUUGCGAGUGAGCCCAAUUUGCCCAAACAUUUGAAUUCUGAAUUGGGGAUUGGAUUGAGGUCCUUCUUUGGUCUUUUUCUGUCGUGGGUUGAAUUUUGGAAAUCAAUUUGUCUUAGUUGGUAAUAUAAUUUGGUAAUUUAUGAGCUUCCGG